rnacentral:rRNA from 1 species
AUGAGUGCUAAGUGUUGGGAGGUUUCCGCCUCUCAGUGCUGCAGCUAACGCAUUAAGCACUCCGCCUGGGGAGUACGACCGCAAGGUUGAAACUCAAAGGAAUUGACGGGGGCCCGCACAAGCGGUGGAGCAUGUGGUUUAAUUCGAAGCAACGCGAAGAACCUUACCAGGUCUUGACAUCUAGUGCCAUCCUAAGAGAUUAGGAGUUCCCUUCGGGGACGCUAAGACAGGUGGUGCAUGGCUGUCGUCAGCUCGUGUCGU